UGGUCUGUGUGCAUUUAUAACACAAAAAUCCCCAAGAAGCACAAGAAAAUGUCUUUUAGAUAGCUGCCCACUGUAGUGACCGCUAUGCAUGAAAGGGUUAAGAACAUUGAUCCAUUCAUUGUCUGUACCUGCUUGUCCUUGCAGGGUUGCGGAGGGGUCUGAUAACGGGGCGAGAGGCUGAAUACACCCUGGGGAGGUCGCCAGUCCAUCACAGGGUUCAGGUUUUCCAAUCCAAAAUCCGGGACUCAACAGAACUCCACCUCGACGUUACUUCCUCCACCCGUUGGCCCGUCGUUCCGACACUCGCUAUAAUCAGCAAGAACUUCUGAAGACGAGCCUGUGCCUUCCAUAAUUACGUCUAAUUAAUUCAGCGCAGCACAUGCGGACUCUAAUCAAGUUGCAGAAGCAGUUCAAGGGCUACUGAUUGAUGAAGGAUUCAGCAGAGCGACUGAUGAGAAAAAAUAAUUUCCAGUCUUAUCAAACACAAAUGUGGACCGGAUGGUUUUAAAGUCAUUGGAUUUCCGACUCGUGAAAAAAUAAAUCGCACAUGGAGACGAA